UACAGAGGUCUCAAGCGUUGUUCGGAUUCAUUGGGCGUAAAGGGUGCGUAGGCGGCGCGGUAAGUCGGGUGUGAAAUUUCGAGGCUUAACUUCGAAACUGCAUUCGAUACUGCCGUGCUUGAGGACUGGAGAGGAGACUGGAAUUUACGGUGUAGCGGUGAAAUGCGUAGAUAUCGUAAGGAAGACCAGUGGCGAAGGCGGGUCUCUGGACAGUUCCUGACGCUGAGGCACGAAGGUCAGGGGAGCAAGCGGG
rnacentral:rRNA from 1 species